ensembl:lncRNA
GAGGACAGACUAAUUAAGGAUUUGGCUAAAGCAGCUCAUGUAGAGAUCCUGAAGGAGGGAGCAAAGCAGAGAAACAACAUUGAUCACUCCGUCAGCUUAUCAGUCUUUUCAGUCAAAGUGCCUUGACUGAGAGGAGAACACAUUCAGCAUUCAAGCUGAAAUGUAACUCUGCAUUGCAGAGUUGCCAAAGUGAGGAAGACCAGGAUAAAGAUGGCCUGAAAUCAUUUGAGGUGAACAAUGGAAAUGAAGGGAAUCUGAGUUAUUUUCUGUUUAACUGUAGGAGAAAAGGCUGAGGAUGCUGACACAGUUCUGUACAGUGGGUUCAUUAAUUAUGUAAUCAAUGAUUGGCUUCAGGAAUUAUAGAGUGAGACACAGUUGGCAUGUUUUAUUUCUUAGUGAAUUGAUUGAGUAACUAAUU